ensembl:lncRNA
GUGGAAGGGGUGGAAGGAGUAGGGAGGGAGGAGUCGAAGGAGUGGAUGGGAGGGGUGGGAGGAGUAGGAGGAAGGGGUGGAAGGAGUGGGAGGGAGGGGUGGAAGGAGUGGAAGGAGUGGAUGGGAGUGGUGGAAGGAGUAGGAGGGAGGGGUGGAAGGAGGGGAGAAAGGGGUGGAAGGAGUGGAAGGAGUGGAUGGGAGGGGUGGAAGGAGUAGGAGGGAGGGGUGGAAGGAGUGGGAGAAAGGGGUGGAAGGAGUGGAAGGAGUGGAUGGGAGGGUGGAAGGAGUAGGAGGGAGGGGUGGAAGGAGUGGAUGGGAGGGGUGGAAGGAGUAGGAGGGAGGGGUGGAAGG